GCCUGGCUGGCUCAGUCAGUGGAGCACGCGAGUCUUGAUCUUGAGGUUGUGAGUUCAAGCCCCACGCUGGGUG
rfam:Ailuropoda melanoleuca scaffold3191_1, whole genome shotgun sequence.